rnacentral:misc_RNA from 1 species
AAACUGCGAUAAGUAGUGUGAAUUGCAUUUAGUGAAUCAUCGAAUCUUUGAACGCACCCUGCACUCACUGGUAUUCCGGUGAGUACGCCUGUUUCAGUAUCAUUGAAAACACACAAUCAAAACAUUUUCUUUGGUUUGAUUGGCUUUGGGUCUAUCAAAAAGUUUGGCUUGUUUCUUACAAGCCAAGCGGCCUGAAAUAUAUUGUCUGGCUAAUUGCAUCGUUGAUGAUCGCUAUUAGACUUUGGCUUUUUUAAAUGAACUGGAGGUUGAUUAACCAGUUUUAGCUUUAGUCAAAUGGUCAUUGUAAAAAAAAUCUCGAUCUUGGCUAGGUGGUUAUAGCCGAAAAUUUUUUUUUGGCUAUAACCGAAACCAAUAUAAUCACAUUUAGUUAUCGAUCUGAAAUCAGGUGGGACUACCCGCUGAACUUAAGC